ensembl:lncRNA
CAGGCACGCACCAUGUCCACUCCUUCUUCCUUCCUAGCACUUCCUGCACCCAAGCCUUCACCUCCACUCCUGGUUUAGAGCCUCACCACUCACGCCGACAUUGGCACCACCUUCCUGACUGGCCUCCCCGCGCCAGCCUCCCUGACCCUGUUCUUCCUGCGUCAGAGAGGGCAAGGUGUGGUGGUGGACACUCAGAAUCAGUAUGUGCCAGCUCUGCGCUCAGUCUGGGAUACAGCUGUGCCUCCUACCUGCUCAGUCUGCGCUUCUGGUUUCCUGGAAAAUGCAGCCUUAGCAACGGCUGACCUGGUUCUCAGGGCUGCUAUCUGACCCCGUCUCCACCUCCAUGUACUAACCACCCCUCCCCGCCGACCACUGCACCACCCCCCGACCAAGCAGGAUCAACUGGCAAGGAGAGAUUGCUAAGCCAGUCCAUGGGUUCCACGGGUGGACUGGACCGAGGAGUCUCUGGUUUCCCCGGCCACUAUGUGAAGGAACUGGGUAACACGGCCCAGAAGCGCAGGGGAGUUCGUGGCCCUAGGUAGGAGUGGGGUGAGGGUGGGGCCGGCACUUUGAGCAGUGAGAGACAAGACGUGGAAAGGAGCCUACAGACAAAGUGCUUGUUACAAGUUCAGUUAUGUCCCCCUAAAAGAUAUGUUGAAGUCUAAACCCCCAGAACCUCAGAAUGUGACCACUGGAAACAGGGUCGUUAGUUAAGAUGAGGUCAUACUGGGGCAGGGUGGGCUCCUAAUCCCAAAGACUGGUGUCCUUAUAAGAAGAGGAGAGAGAAGCAUGGAGAGGGAAGGCAGCCGGGUGAUGACAGAGGCAGAGAUUGGCGUGAUGCAUCUGUAAGCCAAGGAAUGCCAAGGAUUGCCGGCAGCUACCGGAAGCUGGAAGAGGCCAGGAGGGAUGCGCACACAGGCUUCAGAGAGAGUGUGGCCAUGGGACACCUUGAUUUCGGACUUCCAGCCUCCAGAACCGUGAGACAAUACAUCUGUGUCAUUUUAAGCCCCCCAGUUUGUGGCACUUUGUUGCAGCAUUCUUAGGGAUCCAAUGCGGUGCCCUCAUCUUUUUCUCUCCUCACACACUGUUCCAAGGUGCCAGGCUCCAUGAAGCUCUCUGGAGACGUCCAGCAUGACCAACCAACCACUAAGGUAUUUUUGCAACGGUGUGGCCAGCUUGGUAACCUAUCACUUUAUAUUUGCUCUCCUCUUUCCUUGCCUGCAGUGGGCAGCCUCUGAGACGGCCUCCAGUGAUCCCCAUCUCCUGGUACUCAUGCCCUUGGGCUAUCCCCGCCCUCUGGCUGUGGGCUGGACCCAGUGACUCACUUCUGAUGAGCACAGUACAACAAAAAUGAUGGGAUGCAACUUCCAAGGGAACCUGCCCCCAACUUCCAGUCCAGUGACCUCCAAAUUGUACCAAAGAAACAGAACAUCGUUUUCAAAGUCAGAAACAAUCGUCCCUAAAUAUGCACCAGUGUCCUAUGAGUUUCUCCCUACUGGGGCUUCUGCUUUAGACCAUUUAUGUCUGACAGAUUGUACCAUGAAUGUGGUGGGGUUUUCAUAUCAGUUCUGCACAUGUGUGACAUUGCUGGGGCCUCGUGGCUCCCCGAAGCAGCCCCCAGCAUCCCCAUUGAGGGUCGUGAAACCAAAGUGGGCUGGAAACUGGAGACACCCCAACUCUGGAUUCUCUCACCCAUCUGCAAUGUUCAUUCCACUACAUGACUAAGAUGACUUCUUUCUAGUCAUAAUAAAGGCUUUUGGUUUUUCAGUUGGUGGGAGCAGUGUGGGUCGGGGGUGGAUCUGGCCUUCCGUGCUUUUUGCUUUUCUUCUCUCUCACUCCUGCAGGCUGGCUUCUAAACACCCCUUUAAAUGUUAACUCCUCCACAUACAUCCCGAAGUUGAGCAGGGGCUUGGAAAUGAAGAGGAGCUUUACGUCAAGCCAUUUUCAGUUUCAGGCUCAAAUCCAAGGCUUCAGUGGGAUUUGGGGUAAUGAGCGUGUUUGGGGGUUGUCUGUCUUCACUGGGUCCCGUUAGUGCAGGAGGCGGUUUGGUCCUGCACAAAGUCCUCAGGGCAGCAAAACUGAAUGUUCUUUUUCUUG